rnacentral:rRNA from 1 species
AUACGGAGGGUGCAAGCGUUGUUCGGAAUUAUUGGGCGUAAAGAGCAUGUAGGCGGACUGUUAAGUCUGGUGUGAAAGCCCGGGGCUCAACCCCGGAAGUGCAUUAGAUACUGGCAGUCUUGAGUAUGGGAGAGGAAAGUGGAAUUCCGAGUGUAGGAGUGAAAUCCGUAGAUAUUCGGAGGAACACCAGUGGCGAAGGCGGCUUUCUGGACCAAUACUGACGCUGAGAUGCGAAAGCGUGGGGAGCGAACAGGAUUAGAAACCCUGGUAGUCC